CCUACGGGUGGCUGCAGUAAGGAAUAUUGGACAAUGGACGCAAGUCUGAUCCAGCCAUGCCGCGUGCAGGAUGAAGGUCCUCUGGAUUGUAAACUGCUUUUAUGGGGGGCGAAACGUAGGGUUUCUACUUUAUUUGACGGUACCCCAUGAAUAAGCACCGGCUAACUCCGUGCCAGCAGCCGCGGUAAUACGGAGGGUGCAAGCGUUAUCCGGAUUUACUGGGUUUAAAGGGUGCGUAGGCGGGUUGGUAAGUCAGUGGUGAAAUCCUGCAGCUU
rnacentral:rRNA from 1 species